GCCUGACGUAGACGCUAUUCCCUAAGAUUAACCCAUGCAUGUUUUUGACAUUUGAAAAAUGGACUGCUCAGUAAUACUCACUUUAUUUUAUGUAAAUUUUUAAUUAACUACGUUAAAGUGUAGAUAAGAUGUUUACAGUAAGAGUGAGACCUAUCAGCUAGUUGUUAAGGUAAUGGCUUAACAAGGCUGUGACGGGUAACGGUAUUACUUUGUAAUAUUCCGGAGAAGGAGCCUGAGAGACGGCUACUAAGUCUAAGGAUUGCAGCAGGGGCGAAACUUGACCUAUGGAUUUUAUCUGAGGCAGUUAUGGGAAGUAAUAUUAUAUUGUUUCAUAUUUUAAAAGUAUAUGAGGUGAUUAAUUGGAGGGCAAAUCAAGUGCCAGCAGCCGCGGUAAUACA
rnacentral:rRNA from 1 species